CCUACGGGAGGCUGCAGUGGGGAAUAUUGGACAAUGGGCGAAAGCCUGAUCCAGCCAUGCCGCGUGUGUGAAGAAGGCCUUCGGGUUGUAAAGCACUUUCAGUGGGGAAGAAAGCCUUGGGGCUAAUACCCUCGAGGAAGGACAUCACCCACAGAAGAAGCACCGGCUAACUCCGUGCCAGCAGCCGCGGUAAUACGGAGGGUGCGAGCGUUAAUCGGAAUUACUGGGCGUAAAGCGCGCGUAGGCGGUCUGAUAAGCCGGUUGUGAAAGCCCCGGGCUCAACCUGGGAACGGCAUCCGGAACUGUCAGGCUGGAGUGCAGGAGAGGAAGGUAGAAUUCCCGGUGUAGCGGUGAAAUGCGUAGAGAUCGGGAGGAAUACCAGUGGCGAAGGCGGCCUUCUGGACUGACACUGACGCUGAGGUGCGAAAGCGUGGGUAGCAAACAGGAUUAGAUACCCUUGUAGUC
rnacentral:rRNA from 1 species